AUUGAACGCUGGCGGCAUGCCUUACACAUGCAAGUCGAACGGCAGCACGGGAGCAAUCCUGGUGGCGAGUGGCGAACGGGUGAGUAAAGUAUCGGAACGUGCCCAGUCGUGGGGGAUAACGUAGCGAAAGUUACGCUAAUACCGCAUACGAUCUAUGGAUGAAAGCGGGGGAUCGCAAGACCUCGCGCGAUUGGAGCGGCCGAUAUCAGACUAGGUAGUUGGUGGGGUAAAGGCGCACCAAGCCGACGAUCUGUAGCUGGUCUGAGAGGACGACCAGCCACACUGGGACUGAGACACGGCCCAGACUCCUACGGGAGGCAGCAGUGGGGAAUUUUGGACAAGGGGCGAAAGCCUGAUCCAGCCAUGCCGCGUGCAGGAUGAAGGCCUUCGGGUUGUAAACUGCUUUUGUACGGAACGAAAAGGUUUGGCCUAAUAAGCUGAGCUCAUGACGGUACCGUAAGAAUAAGCACCGGCUAACUACGUGCCAGCAGCCGCCGUAA
rnacentral:rRNA from 1 species